CUGGCGGGUCCCGCGCUGCGGGCGACGGUUCCAGAGCCGAGGGGCUCCUCGCUCGGUGCCCGUGGGAAGAGGCUGGGAGCCUCAGCGUUGGGUUACCAGUAGCCCUGUAAGCCCGUGUUCUGUACCUGGAGCAGCUGGGCUGAAGCGGGAGCCGCGCUGCUGUGCCCGAGGGCGGGGCAGCCCGGGCACUGUGGGCGUUCCUUCGUGAGGGGAACGCUGCCUUCCCUGCGACCCUGCCCCUUCCAGCCCUGUCCGUCUCCGCCGCGACUGGCGCGGCUGAAUCAAACUUGGAAGCUUUGUAAAAUACGUUAAAGGCAGGACACGGUGGUUUCGAUUUUUCUCUGUUGAAGUAGGACUUACAUGUCUGAGAAACGUUUCUUCCCCCGGGCAGUAGCAGGAUGACGUGAUCCCAUUUCCUAAUAUCUUCCAUAUCUUCCCUUUUUUUUUUUUUUUGUCCACCUCCCAAAACACACAGCACUGCAACACAUGAUAUUUGAAAGUUGAUAUGUGUAUUUCUACCAGGUAAUGAGGCUAUUUUAGGUUACAAGACCAAUAAUGUGCAAACAUAUUUAAGGACUCAAUAGAGGGAGAACAUAGGCUGGAAAUAUGUUGUAAUAAGCUAAGAUAGGUGGGUGGUCCCUCCCACCUCCUUUUUUAAAUUCCCUCUACCAGGGAAGUGGAGUAGGAUUUUGUAACAAAAGGAUCAUCUUGGCUAUGUCUGACACUCAAAUUCAAAAACCAUGUUGAAACAAUUAAGUUGUAAUUCUUACGAUUUCACUUGAAGCCCCCUCACUGGAAGUCACUUAAAGCUCCUUUGGCCGAGAACUUCUUAAAAAUUAAGUAAUCUCCAUUCAGUUUUGCUCUCUUUGAAUGAUGUUGGUACGAAAGUAUACUUCUGUGAGUUAUAUAGGAAUCUGAACCUGAAGCAUGAGGUUUGAUAAAUGUUAAUUUUAUUACUGUCAGCCUUGUAUAACAGUACAAAGUUGUGUGCAGUUUUUGUAGUAAAUUUUCAGAUACAGGUGGUGGUAGAAUCACUUUUGUAAGUAGUGAGGUGUAUAAGAGAGUUACAGUUUCUUUAACUUUACUAGUUAUUUGAAAAAUUCUUGCUUGUACCUAACUUGAAGUUCUUACAGGUUAAUCUCAGAGAUAUGGGGAAUUUUCCUCUUUGUACAUUAAGGUUUUUUUUCUCUAGUUUUGAGGAACAAUCUCUUCUGAAGUGAUUGUAGUGUAUCCUUUCUUGGAAAGAAAACCUGGUUUAAGUUUUUGAGGUUGAGGAUGGCAUGUGGAUCUGUACAGAUGCAAAUACAAAUUUAUAUCUCUCUCACUUUGUUAUGCUUUUUUUUAGGAAAUGCUGCUCUUUUAAGUACCAUAACUUCUGUAGCAGGGUUGCUGUACAGUUUUGUCAGAUGUAAUUGCUUUGGAAAUGCUUUCAAAAGUAAUAUGGAACGAUGUGGAGAAAUCUCAUAUGCUUUUAGAAGUAACGCUGGAACUGGACUGCAAGGAAAAGUAAUUUUGUCAUUACUUGACUCUGUGACCAACAUGUAAUUUUCUGCACCAGAAGACAAGAAAGAAACUGCAGUUAUUACCAGAUAAGCCAUGCCUGUUGCAGCUGAUGUAACUGUGGGGGACCUGCCUGUGAGACAUACAGGUCUAACUCCAGCUGGAAUUGAGGAAUUACAAGGAAAGAAUAACCAGUCCAAAAAAGAGAAUGAACUUUUGAAGAAAAACUGUAAUAAGCUGCAUAAGUGUCUUCUGUAUGACCCAUGAACAGCAGUGGAAAUCAAAGGAACAGCAAAUGAAACUGCAAAUUGCUAAACUAGAGAUGGCUAUCAAAUCUGAUUUAGCAGACAAAAAUGCAAUCCUUGACAAGAUCAAAGUAGAAAGAGUGGUCAGUGAUGCCUCAGAAGAUGAGCAGGAACUUGAAUGUGAAGAUACUGAUUUUGCUGAAUAUGUUUGAAAAAGAAGCAAAGAAAUAUCAUUGAACAAGACAUUGAUGUUUUUGAUUCACAAGAUGCUAGUGCAGUAAUUGGAAUGCUCAAAGGAACAGUGGAAGCCCUCCAUGCGCUGCCCUCAGUCGAGAGGGGAAUGCAAAGAUGACUACGAGGCAUGAAAGGAAGUUUGCCUGCAGAAGAUCCUUCUCCCAGUGUAAAUGCAUGCUUGAUAGUGCAUCAAAGAUGAGAUCUUUGUAAUUCCUAUGGUAUAUUUAAUGUAUAAUUUAUAUGAAAAGGACGCUUGAUUUGUAGUUGUAAAGUUUUGUAUACUUUUCAGUCUGUUUGUUUUUAUAUUUCCCCCCUAGGCUAAGAAUAUCUCCACAAUGGACAACGUCUUGUAAAUAAUUAAUACCUACAUGAUUGAACGAUGUGCUUUAUUUGCAUUUUUAAGAUUUUUUCCCACAUAAAACAGUAAUAAAAAUGCAAGUCAAAAUUUUAAUUUUUAAUAAAAAAACCAUAAGCCUUAGAAAACUGAUUAAAAAUACUUUUAUGUUAUCCCUAAUCACCCCACUAAAUGGAAUGCCUGUGAUUAGCCUCAUUAAGAAUUUUAUACUGUGAAGAUUUUAUUAAAAGCAAUAU